CAGGAAUCCAAAGAUGACUUCAGCUACCACCUUCCUGUUUCUUUGCGAUCUAUUUUGCCUGUAUCAGAGCUGGAAAUUCCUCUGAGACAUUUGUCAAACUGGAGUGUAAUGAAGAAUACCAUGGGGUUUAUGGUCAGCAGUCAUUGCUGCAGUGUAAUGUCAAAGCUGUUGAGAACGUGACCAUCUUGACCGUGACCUGGAAGAGGGUGGAAGCUGAUCCUCUUUUGUUGGAAUUCCAUAAAGAUACAUCUAACCUAACACCUGGAUUUAAAUUUGCUGAGCCAUCCUGGAACAAGGAUACUAUGAAUGUGUCCUUGUUGUUGACAAAGACCAAGAUGGCCGACAAGGGGGUGUAUGAAUGCAUGGUGACCACAGACCGUGGUGAUGAUACAGCUACAACCAGCCUCAGUGUCACAGUUAUGUACAAAUCAC